rnacentral:rRNA from 1 species
GACGAACGUUGGCGGCGUGCUUAAUACAUGCAAGUCAACUGAAGCACCGGUAGUAAUACUGGUGUGGAGGUGGCGCACGGGUGAGUAACACGUAGGUAAUCUGCCUUCAGGUCUGACAUAACCCCGAGAAAUCGGGGCUAAUAGCAGAUGAUGCAGCGGCUUGACAUCAAGACAGUUGUUAAAGCUUCGGCGCCUGAAGAUGAGCCUGCGUCUGAUUAGCUGGUUGGCGGAGUAAUAGCCCACCAAGGCGACGAUCAGUAGCUGGUCUGAGAGGAUGAUCAGCCACACUGGAACUGAGACACGGUCCAGACCUCCGUACGGGAGG